rnacentral:rRNA from 1 species
CCUACGUGUGUCUGCAGUGAGGAAUAUUGGUCAAUGGACGAGAGUCUGAACCAGCCAAGUAGCGUGAAGGAUGACUGCCCUAUGGGUUGUAAACUUCUUUUAUAUGGGAAUAAAACGUUCCACGUGUGGGAUUUUGUAUGUACCAUAUGAAUAAGGAUCGGCUAACUCCGUGCCAGCAGCCGCGGUAAUACGGAGGAUCCGAGCGUUAUCCGGAUUUAUUGGGGUUAAAGGGAGCGUAGGUGGAUUGUUAAGUCAGUUGUGAAAGUUUGCGGCUAAACCGUAAAAUUGCAGGUGAAACUGGCAGUCUUGAGUACAGUAGAGGUGGGCGGAAUUCGUGGUGUAGCGGUGAAAUGCUUAGAUAGCACGAAGAACUCCGAUUGCGAAGGCAGUUCACUGGACUGCAACUGACACUGAGGCUCGAAAGUGUGGGUAUCAAACAGGAUUAGAUACCCGUGUAGUC